rnacentral:rRNA from 1 species
GACGAACGCUGGCGGCGUGCUUAACACAUGCAAGUCGAACGGUAAGGCCCUUCGGGGUACACGAGUGGCGAACGGGUGAGUAACACGUGGGUGAUCUGCCCUGCACUUCGGGAUAAGCCUGGGAAACUGGGUCUAAUACCGGAUAGGACCACUGCCUGCAUGGGUGGUGGUGGAAAGCUUUUGCGGUGUGGGAUGGGCCCGCGGCCUAUCAGCCUGUUGGUGGGGUGAUGGCCGACCAAGGCGACGACGGGUAGCCGGCCUGAGAGGGGGCCCGGCCACACUGGGACUGAGAUACGGCCCAGACUCCUACGGGAGGCAGCAGUGGGGAAUAUUGCACAAUGGGCGCAAGCCUGAUGCAGCGACGCCGCGUGAGGGAUGACGGCCUUCGGGUUGUAAACCUCUUUCAGCUAUGACGAAGCGCAAGUGACGGUAGUAGCAGAAGAAGGACCGGCCAACUACGUGCCAGCCGCCGCUGUAA